AUGCUUGCCCAGAUUGUAAACUGUGCAGGAAUUUCUUUACAGCUGAUAAGCGCUGCCCAGGACCCUGUGAAGAAUAUAUGUUUUGUGAAAGUACUGCAGGCUCUCAGAGGUAUCUCUGGGGUGUACAUGAGUGCACACUCCUGGCAGAAGAACGGAGGCAGCAGAGGUGUGAUAAGACUAGGACCAAGAUGGAGAAAAACAAGACCAGAGUUUCAGAGUUCUUCAGGACACCACAUCCUCAUGACCCUGCAGAAGAAACUGGAAAAACACCACUUCAACUUGUAAUUGGAUACAAGAUACUAAUUAGAUAAAGCAUGCAUGUUGAUGGCACAACAUCAGUGUAUUGAAAGACAGCUUCUCCUAGACAACGUGCCUCCUGCAUGUCAAGCUGAUGACUGUCUUUUGGUCAAGAACACAUUCAGCUGGGAGUCCGACCAGUUUCAGCAUGUUACUGGCAGGAGGCACUGCUCGAGUGGGUUCCUGUGUCCAACUCACACCGUGGUGCUGGAGCCCUGAUCUGUACGUACUGCACUGCCACAGUGCCUCUCUCCAUUCUUCUUGUCAGAACUGUCCUGGUCUGGUCUGCAAUUGUGUCUAUUUUCUGUAGCAAAUGACUUUCACCUCUGGCAUAGUUCUGCACGUCUGGGUCAAUAGACUGCACUGCCUUGACAGACAAUGAGGGACCUUUGUCCCGGCCGUGGCAGCACAUGAGAUCUCACUCAGGUGCUGCUUCCCACCCUUGGUGCCCCCACCGUACUGCGUGCUGCUCACUGUGGGGGGAACGCUUUGAGCCCUGCCAUAGGCCCUCAGAAGAGGAACUGCAGAGGUAUAAUGGCAUCUUGUGAUGUGGAAGUGCAUCCUGCGUGCCAGGCAAUGUCAGCGAAGGCACCGUCCCCUUAUCUCUGUUAUGUAACCAACAUCAAAACGGAGGUGAGUUUGUGAACCUGAUGUGGCUGGCUGCAGUUACGGCACUUCCCCAGCACAUGGGCAGAGGCUGCCUGCUGGGAAAAAAUACUGCUUUGGUUUACAAUUGACUUACACUUUAGGGUUCUCUUCCAACUCUGAAGCAGAAACAUGGACAAAGACUUAAAAGGCCAGAGGCUGGUUGAUGGCAAAAAGUGUGGGUCCUGCGGCAAACACCGUAGCCACAGGACGGAGGAACACAUAAGCCUCUUACACGAGCCUGCCACAGAAGGGAAAGUUGCCCAAAGCUUGCUUCAGCAUGAAUGUGGCUUCUCUUCCACAGCAUGUGCCACACCUCUUGGCAAGGUGGAGGUUCAAGAAGGAAAGAUUCCUUUCUCCUGAGGUAACAGGAGUACAACUGGAAUAAAAAAGGUGGCAGGAGGGAGAAUGCCGCGUCU
rnacentral:lncRNA from 1 species